UUAACUUAUUUAGCUAAUUGCUCAGACUGCAAUCUUCAGACAGCGUUCAAUGGUGUCUUCGGCGGGCGCGGGCCAGAGGGCAGAAGCCCCCCGGCGGCCGUGAGGCGGGCCCGCCGAAGCAACAAGGUACGAUAAACACGGGUGGGAGGUUGGACCCAGAGGGCCCUCACUCGGUAAUGAUCCUUCCGCAGGUUCACCUACGGAAA
rnacentral:misc_RNA from 1 species